GAAGCAUUUAUGUAGAUUUGAAGUAGAACAAUCAAUUUAUUCUUCUAUAGAAUUUUCCAAUAAUGAUUUAAGUUUUCCUUUCCAAAAAAAAAACCAGUCAAUUCAUAAAACACACUGUCGUCAAAUUGAUCGAAAUUCACUUCUUCACGUUUCUAACGAAAACCGGUUUACGAAUGAUUCAACACGUGUUCGUUAGCACUCUUUUCAUUUAAGCCGGCAAGGAGACUGUCACCACCACUUUUUUUCAGAAUAAUCACACAAAUUGUCGAUUAAAAACACUUUUUAAUUUUGCCUCAAUUUUAAAAUUACACUACACCGGGAUAACAUGUACUUUUUAUGACUAUAAACAAAAACUUAUUGUCCUUCAAAUAACACUUUAUCACUUCCCAAUUCUGGUUAAAUUAAUUAAAUACGUUGAUAACUCGGAGUUGAGUUUUUUUUCUUUCUUUUGACUGAAAACAAUUUCACUUUGACUUUAAACCUCUCUCUCUCUAUUAAUUCCCAGAAUUGAUUGAAAAAGCUGAUAACUGAUUUUUUUCAAACGAAAGAGACACGCACCUAAACAAUUGCAUAUUCACGGCUUUCAAAACAAAAAUACUGAUAUUUUCAAGAGUUCUUUAAACUGAUAAUUAAGUUUGCAGAAAAUAAUUGUAAAUAAGCUGUCAAUUCACACAACACAAUGUAGUCUCAAAAAUAAACGUUGCUUCCAAUACACGAAUCAAGGUUAGGUUAGGUCAGUGACAAAAACACCAAAUGUUUUGGAGUCGCACUAAUUUUUUUUCGAUACUUUCGUUAUUUAUUUUAUAUUUCAAAGAAACGUUCGUAAAAAAAAAAGAUUCUAGACGAAUUAUACGACACAAUAUUACUAAAAACUUAAAUUAAAUACACGUUAAAAAAUAACUACUUGUAAAACUUGUCACUAAAGUGAUAAAACCGCCAAACUGAACCGGUCGUCAGUGGUGCCAACAAUUAAUCGAUACUCGUCACUUCCGACAACUUAAAAAAAACUAUUUGCGCGGGUUUUUUUGAAAUCAAAUCUAAAAAACAUUUAAUUUUCCAUCAAAUUCAAUUGUGAAUAAUUUAUUGUCACGUUGGGGACAAUUUGAUAAUUGCGAUUCUCCCGUCGAGAAGUUGUUUCCUCGUCGACGGAUAGGAUUCACUCUUUUGUGAUAUCCGCGCGAAACCUCGUGACGGUUCGCAUGGAGCGUGCGCUUCGUCCAGCGUCCGACACGAUACUACUUUAACUCUUCGUCUCGCUUACUCUUUCUCUCUGUCUCUCUCACUCGCACACUUGCUCCCACCCUACGCCCCCUCUGCGAUUCAUGUCACUCUCUCACUCUCUCUUAUAUUUGCAGGUCAUGCAAUCUCGCUCCUGUGCGCGACACUUCUGUUUUCUCCCUCUAAUCUGCACCGCGCUUCUCACUGUUUCGCGCGCGCGGGUGUGUCAUCUGUCUCUGUCUUUCAGGGCGUCCGCCCCUGUGUAAUGUUUCUCUCCUUCCCGGUGCCAACACUAUAUACUUCUCACUCCUUUUUGCUCCCUUGCUCGUAAUCCGAGUACAAAACUCAAUGAGAGAGAGAGAGAAAGAGGAAUUCUCGUUAAACAAACACUUCGAUGACGUCAGCCUUGACGUGAUUAAAUUUAUUGCACCAGUCGACCAAGAAGAUGUUCCAGGUAUAUGCUUGAAUGCUCCCAACAAAAUUUUGAGGUUAGAAAAUCGACCGCCAAUCUAAAAUAUUGAUGAGAGGGAGACGUGAAGUUGGCGGCAAUGAUGCAUUCAGAGAUCAAUGUUCGUUACUUCAUUGACCUUGUCUGGAACGUUUGGAGCUUUCAUUGUUGCAGGAAUAGACGCUUUCUUUUGUCAAAAUUUCUAUGCUAGAAUUUUCAAGGUUAGCAAAUUGACCGCCAAUGUCCGAUGCGUUUAGUUGGCAUUGUUCGAGGUUCAUUGACCUUGGCGGAUUGUUGGAGCUUGCACCUGUGUACAAUUUGUGUUGAACAUUUGGUGGAAACCAGAGGAAAAAUCGCAAUGCACUAAGUGUUUUGUCUGAAAUUGUUUUUACUUGACGCGGAAAUUCUGCUAAACGUUAAACGUCCACAUACAACUACUUUGUUGUUGACCUUUUAAGUUCUUUUCGGAUGAAAACUGGACAAGGUAAAAAUCGUUGAAACCAUACGAAGUGCAUGAUGGGGUCUACUUUUUUCUCAGGAUCACUUGUCGUCGUGAACUACUCUCGCGGGUUAAAGAAUGCCUUCGGUGUAGAAACACCUUUUACGUGAUAGGACAGGAACAACCAUCUCAAUUAUCGAGAACAUUUUCGAGUUUUUUUUAUUCUACAAUUCACAUAACCUGAUGAUAAAUAGACAAAAAAAAAAGAGGAUGAUGAGCUGCAAAAAAUUAAUUUCCAACAUCAAAACGACAAAAUCUCUUCGCCUUAUCAAGAAUUAUUGUUUUGAACUGAUCAGAAUUAUUUAGAAGAGAGCGAGUAUUGUAAUCUGAAAAGGUCUUUCAAGGUUGCUCAAUGUUUCGACAACUGCAUGAGGGUUCAUUUAGGAAUUUUCCAAUCGUUAAGAGGCUUUAGGUACGUCCCGGUUGGAUACCUUUUGUUUACCAGGACUCUUUAAACCCGUUCGCCUGCAUUUGGAACCAAAGCCGCUAACUCGGAUCAUCACUAUACAACUACCAGCACCCUAUAUAUUGUUCUAUCCAAGGAUCUCUUCGAGAAUCACUGAAUCCAAUGACGAUAGGUAUCACCGUGGAGUUUCGACGCUUUCAACAAUGGAUUAUAAACCCUGUACAUUUACAAUGUACUCUUCAAAUUGUUUCAACCAAAUCGAUAAAUGGAGAUUCACUCACAUCCAAGAUUCAAAAU